UACGUAGGGCGCAAGCGUUGUCCGGAAUUAUUGGGCGUAAAGAGCUCGUAGGCGGUUUGUCGCGUCUGCUGUGAAAACCUAAGGCUCAACCUUGGGCUUGCAGUGGGUACGGGCAGACUAGAGUGCGGUAGGGGUGACUGGAAUUCCUGGUGUAGCGGUGGAAUGCGCAGAUAUCAGGAGGAACACCGAUGGCGAAGGCAGGUCCCUGGGCCGCAACUUACGCUGAGGAGCGAAAGCAUGGGGAGCGAACAGG
rnacentral:rRNA from 1 species